rnacentral:lncRNA from 1 species
CACUAACCCUAAAAUUUUCAUUUAUAGGAACACUGACAUUUCCACCAAAAACAUAAGCAGAAGGCGUAAGCGGAUCCUUUGUAUUUCAACCAAUCUCUCCCAAUUGUCAUAGAUUUUAUACAAUCGGGAAAGUUUAGAGCACUUCUCUUCAUCAUCUGCGCGUGUAAGUGAGUAGAAUCUGUGGCAACUGGUAGAGACGGGUUGGAACUACACUAAGGAGAGACGAGUUUCGUGAAAUUGCUCUGUUUCAUCAUCUUUCAGAUCCAGAUUCAGUCCGAAGUUGUGGAUGGUAAAUAAUUGGCUACUGAGUUCGUUUAGCCUUCUCAUAAUAUUUUCUUAACCUCACUCUCAUGGUUUUAUAUUUUCAGUAUUGAAAUUUCAUUUGAAUGUUAGAAUUUAGAUGAAUAUACUUAAAAUCUCACAAGUUUUUGGCCUCUAAAAAAUCCAGAAUUUUCGGGAGGCAUCUUAACACGCGUAGCUAUUUUCUGUUUAGUGCGUUGAAAGUUAACUUUAUUAGUUAUUUGCAUCUAGGGCUGAAAAUAGAUUGGAUAUGGACUGGAUCAAUCCAUAUCUUUCCAUAUCCGAUCUGAUAAGAAUAAUUCAUUGAUUCAAUCCGAUAAUUCAUGGGUAUUUGAUUGUUAAAUUUAUAUUCGAUUUGUUAUGAUAUCAAAUAUUCGAUUCAAUCCAAUAAUCCGAUCCGAAACAUUUUACACAUUCUUUUUUCAUUGAAAGAGUCGAUUUUCAAUUUGAUUGCAAUAUUUAUUAUAAUUUACUAAUUUUAUGUUGAAAUUUGAUCAGUUUGACAUUAUUCAAAAAACCCAUAAAAUAUACACGUCUCAAAAUGAAAAAAUUGUGUAAUAAAUUAUGCUGUAAUAUAUAAAAUAUAUUAUAUUAUUAUAACAAAUUGGAUAGUUCGGGUUAUUGGAUUGAGACCCUAAUUUUUUCGAAUCAAAAUUCAAUUCGUAGAUUGCCCUAUUUGAAAUUUUGUUUAAUUAGGAUAUCUCCAGCCUUGUAUCAAGUUAGUGUAAUCCAUUCUAGUGGUACAUUAAAACACCACACCAUAAUAUAUUUUUCGAAAAUUUUCAUUAUCUCUAUUUUGCGGUUCAUUUUAUAUUAUAAUAAUUUUUAAUUUAAUCUAAUUUUAUUUUAAUCUGAUUACUAAUUAACAUAUAUUUGUAAUAUUGAACUUAUUAAAAUAAAAUUCAAAAGCUACAAAUUUUAUAAUUAGAAAUUAAGAAAAUUUUGCAUUGGAAAUGCAUAAAUAAAUGAAAUUACUAAAACUCAAAAGUUAUAAGUUUCAUAGGUAGAAAUUAAAAAGAAAUUAGCACUGGAACAACAUUAUUUUUGAAAGAUAAAUUUUAAAGUAAAAUACAAUAUUAAACUAAAACAAUAAUUUAGUAUUUAGGAAGAUCAUUUCUAGAUCCUCCAAGAAUUAAGUGACAAAAUUAGUUGGAUUUUUAUUAUGUGUAUUUUUCUUGCGUUAAAUGUAAUUUUUUUUAACUGUGGUUUUAGUUAAAAUACAAUAUUUUGAUACAUUAAAUGUAAUUUUUAAUUUAAUAUUUUCAUUAAUGAUAUAAUUUGUAAUCAAAUAAUUUUGAAAUAAAUUAAUUGUGAAGAAAUAAAAUAAAAAAAUAUAGGAAAUACUAUUCAUUUGGUGUAAUUGUUGGAGAUGACAUUACUCUUUGUAUCUGAAAAAAAUAUGUAACAGGUUGCUUGGAUUUUGGACCAGAUGUAUUUCCCUUGUGAGUAUAAAAGCAGUCCCAGGGAACACUGAAUGUUCUUGAUGAUAAAAUGGUGAUCCUUCAUUUCAAACAUUGUGCUUAUGCUCAUUUGAUUCUUUGGUGGCCACAUCUCUUUUGAGAGGUGAUCCUGUUUAUCUUUUACUAUGUGGAUAUGCAUAGAAGUAUUAAGGAUUUGUUUGGUAGUGAUUAUGAGAAUUUAAUUUUUUGACCGUUGAAGAGAAAAUUGAGUUCUACCCGUGAGUGAAGAAGUAAAAAAUAACAGCUGGAAUAGUGAAAUAACCGUCGAAAAUUUGAUUUUUUUGGGUGAAAAAUUGCUACCAAUUGGGGCUAAAUAUGAAUUUUUAUUUUUUUAUUUUUUAUGCAUGUCAACCCCAUAAAUUCAUUUGUAUGUUGCUGUCAUUUGAAACUUGCAUCAGUUAAUAUGAAACAACCUUGUAUCUUUUCCUCCAUUUUCUUGUAAAACUUCAUAUUCUUCAAGAAUUCUCAGUAAAUCCAUCCUUCUGCGCUUCCGGCCCUAGCAUUCCGUUUUAUAGUAGAGAUAGCAGUGGUGAGUCCUCCUAGUUGAAAUAUAGCAGUCUGCGGAUGCCUAAUGCUAUGCCCAUUUCAUUCGAAGAAAUAAAGAACGCAACCAUAAAUUUUUGGGCUGACAGCAUUUUAGAUAAGGAGGCCUGGCCUUGGUCAUAUUUUCGAUGGAUAGAUCAAUGAUCACACUCACUGCUAAAGAAGCCAGGCUUGGAAAUGACAGUUUGCCAUCAAAAAGUCGAAUCCCAAUGGAACGCCAGCGUUCAAGGAAUGGUUGGUAGCUUCUUUGGCGUCGUACUUGAGAGUCUUGCGACUUCAUUCUGAACUUUCCAAUAAACUGAUUUGGUAUCCACCCGAAGUUUUGCAGAUGGAAAUAUGGAAGUGAAUUUUCCGCCGCAACGUCGUCACCGAAGCCCGGUUAAAUUUAUUGUUCACUGGGACGAGGGUGACCACCUGCUUUUGGUAUUUGAGUUCAUGCCAAAAGCAAGCCUAGACUAUCAGUUUUUCAAAAGCAGGUUGCAUUGAAAUAACUUCGAGUUUGUGGCGUGGGCUGCGUGGCUGCCUAACAUAUCUGUCUAUUUUGAACAAGCCUUGUAUAUUCAUUUAAUCAUAAUGAUAAUGAUGUAAUUGUAAGACGUUUUCAAAGUAUUAAAAUACGUAUUAAUUUAUUAUCAUUAAUAUUUUGUUUUAAAAAAAAAUAUAUGUUUUAAUUUUUG